CCUACGGGAGGCUGCAGUGAGGAAUAUUGGUCAAUGGACGAGAGUCUGAACCAGCCAAGUAGCGUGAAGGAUGACUGCCCUAUGGGUUGUAAACUUCUUUUAUAAAGGAAUAAAACGAGGCACGUGUGCCUUUUUGCAUGUACUUUAUGAAUAAGGAUCGGCUAACUCCGUGCCAGCAGCCGCGGUAAUACGGAGGAUCCGAGCGUUAUCCGGAUUUAUUGGGUUUAAAGGGAGCGUAGAUGGGUUGUUAAGUCAGUUGUGAAAGUUUGCGGCUCAACCGUAAAAUUGGAAUUGAUACUGGCAGUCGUGAGUACAGUUGAGGUAGGCGGAAUUCGUGGUGUAGCGGUGAAAUGCUUAGAUAUCACGAAGAACCCCGAUUGCGAAGGCAGCUUACUAAACUGUGACUGACAUUGAUGCUCGAAAGUGUGGGUAUCAAACAGGAUUAGAUACCCCUGUAGUC
rnacentral:rRNA from 1 species